UGGCUCCAUUAGAGAGUGAGCGUCGUGAGGUUCUUGUGACAACGGUGCCGAUCUUUGCUCGAUCUUGUAGCAAAGAUCCAUUGUCGGGUUAUUUCUGCUUGCUUCUCUUUUGUCUAACACGUAAUGGGUAAUUGAUAUACGGUGAUCAUGGCCGAUUAAGGUGUGCUCGACGACGGCUAGAUCCAAGGAGAUUGGCUCGUGACUCGAGGUUCGGAGCCCAUAGCACAUGAUUGAUUCAUGUGUGCAUCUUGGAGAUCAUUAACCCUAUGAGGUUAGUGAUUUAAUUUCGCUUCCGCAUUUAAUUUCAAUACCCGAAUAAAGACCCGAUUUUUAUGUGAUUUGAGUACAUGUAUGACUUAAUUUUAAAGUAGACUAUCAGUGUCACCAUCUACUUAUUCAUUAAUAACCGUUUUUUCCCAUAACAUAUUUUUACCACCAAUUAGCUCCAAACGUUGACAUUCCGUCUACCAUUUAUACCCUUCCAUAACAAAAAAGUGACGGAAAAGGUAACACCGUUCAUGAAUUUUCCGUCAUGGAGGUUAACGAAAGGGUAUAAAUGGUAGACGGAAUGCCAACGUUUGGAACUAAUUGGUGGCAAAAAUAUGUUAGGGGCAAAAAUAGUUGCUAAUGAAUAAGUGGAUGGCGACGGUGGUAUUCUUACUCUUUAAUUUUACCACAUUAGUAUCAGAUUCUGUAUUGAAAAAACCUCGGUUUGGCUAUUUAUUUAUCCAAAUCUGAGUCAGUAAAUUUAGGUUUGACUUCUG